rnacentral:lncRNA from 1 species
ACAUUCUUCCAGACUGAUGCCUGCUUCUGUGGGGCAGCCGCCAACUGUGUUAACAACACACCCUUUUAAAGUGUGCCAUACAGAGAUUCAUCUGGACACAGGUUUCUAAAUAUCCCCACAGAUAGCUAAACGAUAGCUCCAGAUUCUAACAGUGUGGUCCAGUGAGAAGCCCAAUCUUUGAUCUACAGUGCAUCUUCAUGUUCUGUAUGACAUGUCAGUGCAGAUGAAUGACAAAGCUUGGAUUUGUUCCUAGAUGUGGAAGUAUCUCAGGCUAUGCUCUCAAACACUACACGGACUUGUACCUGCUCCACGCAAUGCCUAGGACAUGGCUAAGUAGAUAGCAGAUAUCGGGAAGAGUUGCACCCUCAUCUGUAGUUUCUGCCUGUGUGUUUGUUCUUCCCGUGAUGUCAAAGGCUAUCACUUGCACUGUGAGGACUGGUUCUCCAAAAGUGUCUGGGAAAGUUCAUCUUACCUUUUUGUCAUCCUUGUUAGCAUAAACAUCUCUCCAGGGCUUUCAGUAUUUGUCAGAAUGAUAUUCACAAUUGGCCUUUUCUACCCCUUGUUGUUCUGGAGUUACAUGUUGGGCUGCCAACUAGGUUUUAAGAGGUAUCCCAGUGUUCUUUGUACUCCCUCCCAACUCCCUUCAGCAUCCUAGGGCUCUCCAGCCUGACAGGGCAGGAGUCUAGGGCCUAAUUGCCACUGACUUCAUAAUAGUCAAUGUUUCCUGUUGAUGGGGUAAUGGCUUUUGCUAGUUUAAUCCUCUCAGUCCACAGAAAUUUCUUGCAUCCUGAUAGUAACACCUCUGCCAUGCAUCCCACAUACUCUUGGAGGCAGUACACUACACUCUUAGCUCUAGUAUAAAACCAUGGUUGGUUUAGGCCAAUAAGCACAUGCUCAGUUCAAAUGGAUGACUCAAUUCUGACCAAUGAGAGACAAGGGGAUGAUUCCUGACUCAGAAACCCAGCAGCAGACUUCUUUUUACUCAUCACCAAGCAAUCAUGCGGGAUGAGUAAAGAUCCAAGAGGUUCAUGAAUCCUUUUGGAACCCUGAAGGAAUCCAACUUUCAGAAUGAGAAAGAUGGAGUAAAAGGCUAAGGACAAAAAUGGGAAAGGAAUGGGUUUGGAUGAUGAACUUAGUCAAGCUUAGUGCCAAAGCCUGGACUGCAUCCAAGUUUGUUCAGGAGGUGAGAGCUGUGAUUCUUUCUCUUGAUCAAGAUGGUCUCGAGAUCCAGAUUUUUUUUUCCUCCGAUAUCAUCGAUACUGGAAGAUUUUUAAUAAACAUGAUUUAAUAAUCC